rnacentral:rRNA from 1 species
UACGUAGGGUGCGAGCGUUAAUCGGAAUUACCGGGCGUAAAGCGUGCGCAGGCGGUUUUAUAAGCCAGAUGUGAAAGCCCCGGGCUCAACCUGGGAAUGGCAUUUGGGACUGUAAGGCUGGAGUAUGGCAGAGGAGACUAGAAUUCCUGGUGUAGCAGUGAAAUGCGUAGAUAUCAGGAGGAAUACCGAUGGCGAAGGCAGGUCUCUGGGCCAAUACUGACGCUCAUGCACGAAAGCGUGGGGAGCAAACAGG